AAUGGCUGUCCGUAGUAUGGUC
rnacentral:miRNA from 5 species